ACUCAUUUAAUUAACAUUCAUGAAUUACUUGUUCAUAAUUAUAUUCGAAACUUUGUGAUAGCCGUAUGUCUCAUGUGUUGUAGAUAAAAUGAAUAAAACUAAUUUAAAAACAAUAACUGAUGUUAAUGAUGUGCACCCGGCUGAUCAGGAGAUGGAGUCUGCUCUGAGUGUCGCAGGAACAGGCUGCUAUAAUAUUAAAUACAGUCUUGUCUUGGCAUUAUUUCUUAUAGCAGCUACUGUCGAACUAUUCGGGUAUUCAUACGUGUUGCCUGCCGCUAAGUGUGACUUCAAUAUGACCGACACAGAACGUGGGUAUGUUGCAUCCAUACCAUAUGUAGGUUUAGUAGCAACAUCGUUUGUAUGGGGUUACUUAGUGGACACUUGUGGAAGGAAGAAAGUGCUAGUAUUAAGUUCUUUGGCCACUGGUGUAUUUGGUGCUGCGUCUGCGUUUAUGCCUGAUUUACUAUCAUAUGUUAUAAUGAAAUUUCUCAUGUCUCUGUGCAUAGCUGGUCCUGCUACGAUACCGUUCACAUUCAUCGGAGAAAUAAUACCCUACAAGUAUAGAGAUUUAACCCUGUCAGUAACUAAUGCUCUGCAAAUAAUCGGAUCAGCAUUAGUCCCCUGUAAGUGAACUUAAUACGUAGAUAUAAGUAUUGGCGUGGGCUAUACUACCAUUUCAAUUUCAAGUAGACUUUGGAACAUUAAAAUUUACUUAAUGGCGUUUAUUAACUAUAGUUUACUCGUUGCCGUUUAUAAUCAGUGCGAUUCUAUUGUCCUUUGGCCCGGAGAGUCCCAAAUUCUUAUUAUCAAGAGGCAAACAUGUCGAAUCACUGCAAGUGUUGGGAAACAUUUACGCGAGGAAUUCGGGAAAAUCUCCAAUAGAAUACCCGAUAAAACAAUUAAAGAUUGAAAAUGGUCAUGAGAAGACAUCAUUUUUGAAAUCUCUCUUAGUCCAGUCAUUUCCACUUCUGCAACCGCCAUACUUGAAAUGGAUGAUAUUGAACAGUUUUCUUCUUUUUGGUAUUUAUGCAACGUUGAAUGGGCUCUACAUCUGUAUGCCAGACGUGCUCAAUGUAGUCUUAACAAGUGGAAGAGAUGACAUGACCGCUUGCGCAGUAAUUGCUGAAAAAAAUAACGCGACGUCCACCAAGCUGAACAGUUGUCAUAACUCAGUAGACCCGAUGACGUAUGUGACACAUUCGGCGGCUAACGCGUCUUGUGCUCUGAUCGCUCUGGUAGCCAGUGCCACUGUGAAAAUAAUCGGGAAAAAAUUCCUUCUGGUAGUCAUUUAUAUCGCAAUCGGCACAAGUAUUGUGUUGAUCAACUUUAUAACACACCAGAGCCUGUUAGCAAUCCUUCUAGCGGCGAUGCAAGUGACUGCGUCGGCAAUCGGACCACUCAAUACUUUCUCCGUACAAAUCUUUCCAACUCAUUUAAGGGGUAUGGCUAUCAGCUUAACCAUGAUGGCUGGUCGUUGUGGAUCCAUCAUUGGUGCCAGUACAUCCACGGUGCUCAUAAACUCGGACUGUGGAGCAACUUUUUACGGUUAUGGGGGAUUACUUUUAGCGUGUGGACUUCUUUCAUUACUACUUCCAAAAUCAAAUGCAUCACUAGAAUCGAAGAGUGAAAUGUUGACAAAAUUAUAAUCACUUGAGGUCAUAGAAUAGCAUAUAGUAUUAUAAUUACAUGACGUAAGUAUAACGGAUCUUGAAGAAGUAAAUUAAAAACAUAAAACAUGAUUGU